rnacentral:rRNA from 1 species
CCCUUAGAUGUCCUGGGCCGCACGCGCGCUACACUGAACGGAUCAGAGCGUUUUCCCUUCCCGAGAGGGACGGGUAACCUGCUGAACCCCGUUCGUGGUAGGGAUCGGGGCUUGCAAUUAUUCCCCGUGAACCAGGAAUGCCCAGUAAGUGCAAGUCAUAAGCUUGCGUUGAUUACGUCCCUGCCCUUUGUACACACCGCCCGUCGCUACUACCGAUUGAACGUUUUAGUGAGGUACUCGGACUGAGCCUCAGAAGAUUCACGUCUUUUGUGCUGCUCGGGAAGAUUCCCAAACUUGAGCGUUUAGAGGAAGUAAAAGUCGUAACA